rnacentral:rRNA from 1 species
AGUGAACGCUGGCGGUAGGCCUAACACAUGCAAGUCGAACGGCAGCACAGUAAGAGCUUGCUCUUACGGGUGGCGAGUGGCGGACGGGUGAGGAAUACAUCGGAAUCUACUUUUUCGUGGGGGAUAACGUAGGGAAACUUACGCUAAUACCGCAUACGACCUACGGGUGAAAGCGGGGGAUCUUCGGACCUUGCGCGAUUGAAUGAGCCGAUGUCGGAUUAGCUAGUUGGCGGGGUAAAGGCCCACCAAGGCGACGAUCCGUAGCUGGUCUGAGAGGAUGAUCAGCCACACUGGAACUGAGACACGGUCCAGACUCCUACGGGAGGCAGCAGUGGGGAAUAUUGGACAAUGGGCGCAAGCCUGAUCCAGCCAUACCGCGUGGGUGAAGAAGGCCUUCGGGUUGUAAAGCCCUUUUGUUGGGAAAGAAAAGCAGCAGGUUAAUACCCCGCUGUUCUGACGGUACCCAAAGAAUAAGCACCGGCGAACUUCGU